CCUACGGGUGGCUGCAGUGAGGAAUCUUGGUCAAUGGGCGGAAGCCUGAACCAGCCAAGUAGCGUGCAGGAUGACGGCCCUCCGGGUUGUAAACUGCUUUUUUACGGGAAUAACGCGCCUUACGUGUAGGGCUUUGCAUGUACCGUAUGAAUAAGGACCGGCUAAUUCCGUGCCAGCAGCCGCGGUAAUACGGAAGGUCCGGGGUUUAUCCGGAUUGGUGGGGUUUAAGGGGAGAGUAGGCCGCACGUCAAGCGUGCUGUGAAAUGUCCGGGCUCAACCCGGGCCUUGCAGCGCGAACUGGCGUGCUUGAGUCCGCGGAAAGCAGGCGGAAUUCGUCGUGUAGCGGUGAAAUGCUUAGAUAUGACGAAGAACCCCGAUUGCGAAGGCAGCUUGCUGCAGCGGAACUGACGCUGAUGCUCGAAAGCGCGGGUAUCGAACAGGAUUAGAUACCCGUGUAGUC
rnacentral:rRNA from 1 species